UUGGAACGAGAGAGACGA
rnacentral:snRNA from 1 species